ACGAACGCUGGCGGCAUGCCUAACACAUGCAAGUCGAACGCCCCGCAAGGGGAGUGGCGCACGGGUGAGUAACGCGUGGGGAUCUGCCCAUCGGUGGGGAAUAACCUCGGGAAACUGAGGCUAAUACCGCAUACGCCCUUAGGGGGAAAGAUUUAUCGCUCCAAGACGGGCCCGCGCCCGAUUAGGUAGUUGGUGAGGUAACGGCCCACCAAGCCUACGAUCGGUAGCUGGUCUGAGAGGAUGAUCAGCCACACUGGGACUGAGACACGGCCCAGACGCCUACGGGAGGCAGCAGUGGGGAAUAUUGGACAAUGGGCGCAAGCCUGAUCCAGCCAUGCCGCGUGAGUGAAGAAGGCCUUCGGGUUGUAAAGCUCUUUCAGCGGGGACGAUGAUGACGGUACCCGCAGAAGAAGCCCCGGCUAACUUCGU
rnacentral:rRNA from 1 species